GAGAGUUUGAUCAUGGCUCAGAAUGAACGCUAGCGGCAUGGAUUAGGCAUGCAAGUUGAACGCACUACCUAGUAGUGAGUGGCGAACGGGUGAGUAACAUGUGAGUAAUCUGGCUUUAAGCCGGGAAUAACUUUAGGAAACUGAAGCUAAUACCCGAUGAGACUAAAUUGAUGCAUAUUGAAUUAGUGAAAGGAUUUAUCCGCUUAGAGAUGAGCUCGCACCCCAUUAGCUAGUUGGUAAGGUAACGGCUUACCAAGGCGAAGACGGGUAGGUGGUCUGAGAGGAUGGUCACCCACACUGGAACUGAGAUACUGUCCAGACUCCUACGGGAGGCUGCAGUCGAGAAUCUUCCGCAAUGCACGAAAGUGUGACGGAGCAAUGCCGCGUGAAGGAUGAAUGUCUUCGGAUUGUAAACUUCUGUCAGGGGUGAAAAACUAUGAUGGUAGCCCCAGAGGAAGCCACGGCUAACUACGUGCCAGCAGCCGCGGUAAUACGUAGGUGGCGAGCGUUAUUCGGAUUUACUGGGCGUAAAGGGUCCGUAGGGGGAUAUAUAAGUUUGAUGUGAAAUUUCAGGGCUUAACCCUGA
rnacentral:rRNA from 1 species